GAUGAAGAACGUAGCGAAAUGCGAUACUUGGUGUGAAUUGCAGAAUCCCGUGAAUCAUCGAGUCUUUGAACGCACAUUGCGCCCCCUGGUAUUCCGGGGGGCAUGCCUGUCCGAGCGUCAUUGCUGCCCUCAAGCACGGCUUGUGUGUUGGGCCCCGUCCUCCGAUCCCGGGGGACGGGCCCGAAAGGCAGCGGCGGCACCGCGUCCGGUCCUCGAGCGUAUGGGGCUUUGUCACCCGCUCUGUAGGCCCGGCCGGCGCUUGCCGAUCAACCCAAAUUUUUAUCCAGGUUGACCUCGGAUCAGGUAGGGAUACCCGCUGAACUUAAGCAUAUCAAUAAGGGAGGA
rnacentral:misc_RNA from 1 species